GACGAACGCUGGCGGCGUGCUUAACACAUGCAAGUCGAACGUGAUUUUUGUGGAAAUUCUUUCGGGAAUGGAAAUGAAAUGAAAGUGGCGAACGGGUGAGUAACACGUGAGCAACCUACCUUACACAGGGGGAUAGCCGUUGGAAACGACGAUUAAUACCGCAUGAGACCACAGAAUCGCAUGAUAUAGGGGUCAAAGAUUUAUCGGUGUAAGAAGGGCUCGCGUCUGAUUAGCUAGUUGGAAGGGUAAAGGCCUACCAAGGCGACGAUCAGUAGCCGGUCUGAGAGGAUGAACGGCCACAUUGGAACUGAGACACGGUCCAAACUCCUACGGGAGGCAGCAGUGGGGAAUAUUGCACAAUGGGGGGAACCCUGAUGCAGCGACGCCGCGUGAGCGAAGAAGGUUUUCGAAUCGUAAAGCUCUGUCCUAUGAGAAGAUAAUGACGGUAUCAUAGGAGGAAGCCCCGGCUAAAUACGUGCCAGCAGCCGCGGUAAUACGUAUGGGGCGAGCGUUGUCCGGAAUUAUUGGGCGUAAAGGGUACGUAGGCGGUUUUUUAAGUCAGGUGUGAAAGCGUGAGGCUUAACCUCAUUAAGCACUUGAAACUGGAAGACUUGAGUGAAGGAGAGGAAAGUGGAAUUCCUAGUGUAGCGGUGAAAUGCGUAGAUAUUAGGAGGAAUACCGGUGGCGAAG
rnacentral:rRNA from 1 species